rnacentral:rRNA from 1 species
GUGGGGAAUCUUAGACAAUGGGCGCAAGCCUGAUCUAGCCAUGCCGCGUGAGCGAUGAAGGCCUUAGGGUUGUAAAGCUCUUUCAGGGGGGAAGAUAAUGACGGUACCCCCAGAAGAAGCCCCGGCUAACUCCGUGCCAGCAGCCGCGGUAAUACGGAGGGGGCUAGCGUUGUUCGGAAUUACUGGGCGUAAAGCGCACGUAGGCGGACCAGAAAGUCAGGGGUGAAAUCCCGGGGCUCAACCCCGGAACUGCCUUUGAAACUCCUGGUCUUGAGGUCGAGAGAGGUGAGUGGAAUUCCGAGUGUAGAGGUGAAAUUCGUAGAUAUUCGGAGGAACACCAGUGGCGAAGGCGGCUCACUGGCUCGAUACUGACGCUGAGGUGCGAAAGCGUGGGGAGCAAACAGGAUUAGAUACCCCUGUAGUCC